rnacentral:rRNA from 1 species
CCUACGGGGGGCAGCAGUGAGGAAUAUUGGUCAAUGGCCGGAAGUCUGACCCAGCCAAGUCGCGUGAGGGACGACUGCCCUAUGGGUUGUAAACCUCUUUUAUAAGGGCAGAAUACAUGCUACGUAUAGCAUGAUGCCUGUACCUUAUGAAUAAGCAUCGGCUAACUCCGUGCCAUCAGCCGCGGUAUUACGGAGGAUGCGUGCGUUAUCCGGCUUUAUUGGGUUAAAAGGGUGCGUAGGCGGUUUUUUAAGUUAGUGGUUAAACGUCGGGGCUUCACCUUGAUUUGCCAUUAAUACUGUAAGAUGCGAGUUCAGACGAGGUAGGCGGAAUAAGUUAAGUAGCGGUGAAAUGCUUAGAUAUAACUUAGAACUCCGAUAGCGAAGGCAGCUUACCAGACUGCGACUGACGCUGAAGCACGAGAGCGUGGGUAGCGAACAGGAUUAGAUACCCGAGUAGUC